rnacentral:rRNA from 1 species
GUGCCAGCCGCGGCGGUAAUACGUAGGUGGCAAGCGUUGUCCGGAUUUAUUGGGCGUAAAGCGAGCGCAGGCGGUUUCUUAAGUCUGAUGUGAAAGCCCCCGGCUCAACCGGGGAGGGUCAUUGGAAACUGGGAAACUUGAGUGCAGAAGAGGAGAGUGGAAUUCCAUGUGUAGCGGUGAAAUGCGUAGAUAUAUGGAGGAACACCAGUGGCGAAGGCGGCUCUCUGGUCUGUAACUGACGCUGAGGCUCGAAAGCGUGGGAGCAAACAGGAUUAGAUACCCUGGUAGUCCACGCCGU